UACGUAGGGAGCAAGCGUUGUCCGGAAUCAUUGGGCGUAAAGGGCGCGUAGGUGGCCUGUUAAGUCGAACGUGAAAUCCCCGGGCUCAACCCGGGAACUGCGUCCGAGACUGGCAGGCUCGAAUCCGGGGAGAGGGAUGUGGAAUUCCAGGUGUAGCGGUGAAAUGCGCAGAGAUCAGGAGGAACACCCGUAGCGAAGGCGGCACUCUGGGCCGAUACUGACACUGAGGAGCGAAAGCGUGGGGAGCGAACAGG
rnacentral:rRNA from 1 species